GACGAACGCUGGCGGCGUGCUUAACACAUGCAAGUCGAACGCUGAAGCUCAGCUUUUGUUGGGUGGAUGAGUGGCGAACGGGUGAGUAACACGUGAGUAACCUGCCUCCUUCUUUGGGAUAACGCCCGGAAACGGGUGCUAAUACUGGAUAUUCACUGGUCUUCGCAUGGGGGUUGGUGGAAAGGGUUUUUCUGGUGGGGGAUGGGCCCGCGGCCUAUCAGCUUGUUGGUGGGGUGAUGGCCUACCAAGGCUUUGACGGGUAGCCGGCCUGAGAGGGUGACCGGUCACAUUGGGACGGAGAUACGGCCCAGACUCCUACGGGAGGCGGCAGUGGGGAAUAUUGCACAAUGGGCGCAAGCCUGAUGCAGCGACGCCGCGUGAGGGAUGGAGGCCGUCGGGUUGUGAACCUCUUUCGCUCAUGGUCAAGCCGCAACAAUGGUUGUGGUGAGGGUAGUGGGUAAAGAAGCGCCGGCUAACUACGUG
rnacentral:rRNA from 1 species